UACGUAGGGGGCUAGCGUUGUCCGGAUUUAUUGGGCGUAAAGAGCUCGUAGGCGGCUCGGUAAGUCGGAUGUGAAACCUCCAGGCUCAACCUGGAGUCGCCAUCCGAUACUGCUGUGGCUUGAGUCCGGUAGGGGAGCAUGGAAUUCCUGGUGUAGCGGUGAAAUGCGCAGAUAUCAGGAGGAACACCAGUGGCGAAGGCGGUGCUCUGGGCCGGUACUGACGCUGAGGAGCGAAAGCGUGGGGAGCAAACAGG
rnacentral:rRNA from 1 species